UUUUAGCCCCGAUUGCAGUGGCAUCCUUUUUCUUUUUUUUCUAAGAAAAAAGAAAAAGAUAUAACGGAAAGCGGGUCGAGUC
rnacentral:sRNA from 2 species